rnacentral:rRNA from 1 species
GAUGAACGCUGGCGGCGUGCCUAAUACAUGCAAGUCGAGCGAGCGGACGAGAAGCUUGCUUCUCUGAUGUUAGCGGCGGACGGGUGAGUAACACGUGGAUAACCUACCUAUAAGACUGGGAUAACUUCGGGAAACCGGAGCUAAUACCGGAUAAUGUUUUGAACCGCAUGGUUCAAAAGUGAAAGACGGUCUUGCUGUCACUUAUAGAUGGAUCCGCGCUGCAUUAGCUAGUUGGUAAGGUAACGGCUUACCAAGGCAACGAUGCAUAGCCGACCUGAGAGGGUGAUCGGCCACACUGGAACUGAGACACGGUCCAGACUCCUACGGGAGGCAGCAGUAGGGAAUCUUCCGCAAUGGGCGAAAGCCUGACGGAGCAACGCCGCGUGAGUGAUGAAGGUCUUCGGAUCGUAAAACUCUGUUAUUAGGGAAGAACAUAUGUGUAAGUAACUGUGCACAUCUUGACGGUACCUAAUCAGAAAGCCACGGCUAACUACGUG